AUUGAACGCUGGCGGCAUGCCUUACACAUGCAAGUCGAACGGCAGCACGGGGCAACCUGGUGGCGAGUGGCGAACGGGUGAGUAAUGCAUCGGAACGUACCUUUCAGUGGGGGAUAACGUAGCGAAAGUUACGCUAAUACCGCAUAUUCUGUGAGCAGGAAAGCAGGGGAUCGCAAGACCUUGCGCUGAUUGAGCGGCCGAUGUCAGAUUAGCUAGUUGGUGAGGUAAAGGCUCACCAAGGCGACGAUCUGUAGCGGGUCUGAGAGGAUGAUCCGCCACACUGGAACUGGGACACGGUCCAGACUCCUACGGGAGGCAGCAGUGGGGAAUUUUGGACAAUGGGGGCAACCCUGAUCCAGCCAUGCCGCGUGAGUGAAGAAGGCCUUCGGGUUGUAAAGCUCUUUCGGCCGGGAAGAAAUCGCACGGGCUAAUACCCUGUGUGGAUGACGGUACCGGAAUAAGAAGCACCGGCUAACUACGUGCCAGCCGCCGCCGUAACAC
rnacentral:rRNA from 1 species